UGUCUUGUGUGUACUCCAGCAACCUAGAUGUGGAACAUGAGGGUGGUUUGCAGAGACUCCAGACGCACCAGCUAGUAGCAAAACAGUGUGUACUUCCAGGCUAGGGCCACUCACAGAUUUCUUGGCUCAUACAGAGUGGUGCAUGCUAUUGAUACCUACCACAGUUACAUUUUAGCUGAAAUAUAUUUAAUUUCCCAUGAACUUUGAAAAUUCAAGCAUCUCUCAUGCCUCUAACCAGAGCGUCUCAAAACCUCACAGAAGAACAGCCAGGGCCACAAAAUCUCAGUGUGGCUUCUGUAAGUCACCACUUACUGGUGUUUUUCAGUACAGCUGAAUGCAAUAACAUGCAGCCUAUGAACACAGGAAAGGGAACACAGACAUCUUCUUCUCCCUACCUUUAACUGGAAGCUGGAAACUGUCCCAUGUUCCAUACAGAUUGACUGAAGUUUCUCCUGUGUGGCUGUGUUAAUGGAAAUGGAAGGAACUUCAGAGCAAGAACUCUUAUUUAUUCUGUGCUUGCACAUCACCUCACAUUAUGUGACACACUCAGGAAUAGACAAUAAUAAAAUAAACAACUAUACUGAGUUUGAUAUUAAAUCAUCAUGCACUGCACUUGAUUACUGAAAGCCACUGAACAGAUUUAACAGUUUUGUGAUUUAGGUUAUAAAUUUAUUAAAGUUCAAACAUAAUUGCCAAUAUUUGUUCACAAAAGUCUUGUCUUGUUACGUGGGAGAAUAGACCAAUCCCCCAAUCCCACUACAACCUCCUCUGAGGCAGCUGUGGGGAGAAUUAAGGUUUACCUGAGCCUCCUUCUCUCCAGGCUAAACAACGCCAGU